rnacentral:rRNA from 1 species
GAUCAUGGCUCAGGAUGAACGCUAGCUACAGGCUUAACACAUGCAAGUCGAGGGGCAGCAUGAACUUAGCUUGCUAAGUUUGAUGGCGACCGGCGCACGGGUGAGUAACACGUAUCCAACCUUCCGUUUACUCAGGGAUAGCCUUUCGAAAGAAAGAUUAAUACCUGAUAGUAUGGUGAGAUUGCAUGAUAACACCAUUAAAGAUUUAUUGGUAAACGAUGGGGAUGCGUUCCAUUAGGUAGUAGGCGGGGUAACGGCCCACCUAGCCUGCGAUGGAUAGGGGUUCUGAGAGGAAGGUCCCCCACAUUGGAACUGAGACACGGUCCAAACUCCUACGGGAGGCAGCAGUGAGGAAUAUUGGUCAAUGGGCGAGAGCCUGAACCAGCCAAGUAGCGUGAAGGAUGAAGGUCCUACGGAUUGUAAACUUCUUUUAUACGGGAAUAAAGUAUCCUACGUGUAGGAUUUUGUAUGUACCGUAUGAAUAAGCAUCGGCUAACUCCGUG